CACUCCUGCGGGAGGCAGCAGUGGGGAAUAUCGCACAAUGGGCGCAAGCCUGAUGCAGCCAUGCCGCGUGUAUGAAGAAGGCCUUCGGGUUGUAAAGUACUUUCAGCGGGGAGGAAGGCGAUAAGGUUAAUAACCUUGUUGAUUGACGUUACCCGCAGAAGAAGCACCGGCUAACUCCGUGCCAGCAGCCGCGGUAAUACGGAGGGUGCAAGCGUUAAUCGGAAUUACUGGGCGUAAAGCGCACGCAGGCGGUCUGUCAAGUCGGAUGUGAAAUCCCCGGGCUCAACCUGGGAACUGCAUUCGAAACUGGCAGGCUAGAGUCUUGUAGAGUGGGGUAGAAUUCCAGGUGUAGCGGUGAAAUGCGUAGAGAUCUGGAGGAAUACCGGUGGCGAAGGCGGCCCCCUGGACAAAGACUGACGCUCAGGUGCGAAAGCGUGGGGAGCAAACAGGAUUAGAUACCCGGGUAGUCCCAG
rnacentral:rRNA from 1 species